UACGAAGGGGGCUAGCGUUGCUCGGAAUCACUGGGCGUAAAGGGCUCGUAGGCGGCCAACUAAGUCAGACGUGAAAUCCCUCGGCUUAACCGGGGAACUGCGUCUGAUACUGGUUGGCUUGAAUCCGGGAGAGGGAUGUGGAAUUCCAGGUGUAGCGGUGAAAUGCGUAGAUAUCUGGAGGAACACCGGUGGCGAAGGCGGCAUCCUGGACCAACACUGACGCUGAGGAGCGAAAGCCAGGGGAGCGAACGGG
rnacentral:rRNA from 1 species